UGUCCUAGGCGGAUCGCCGUCUCUGGCGGGAGAGGCCGGGGUCUGUCGGUAGUGCUUGCAGGGGACAGACAGGGCUCGACUCCAGGUAUCCGUCGGGACCCAGGGCAGCCGGUUACUGGCUCGUGACUUCAUGUGCCAACUUGAACCUGUGUUUCAGGGAUGGCUUCCACAAACCCAACACUCAUCGUCCUGUGUUACUACAUGGCUGAGCAGGUGGGAAGGGAAGCCAAGUCUUAGUGGCCAGCCAGAAGUCUGGUUCCCCAAGUUAACAGCAUCCUAGUAAUUUGCACUGAUUCACUGAGCAUUGCUAAUCUGUUAAUAAUGCUCAGUGGAAGCUCUAAUCACACUGCAUACCUGGCAGCCUCAGUGAAUUUCGUGUGUCUUAGAGUACUUACAUAAGCACUUGAACUGAAGGAUUUAGCUGACCCACAUAUUUCAUGGAGUUUUGCUGAAGCACUGGGACACCUUCAGCAUUUCCUGAAGCCUUCAGUACUUUCAUAACACCUUUGUGAGGAAGUGCCACCUGCAAGUAGAAGAGAGCCACUCAGACAUCAGAUGCCUCAGUCAGAGGUAACAGAACUGUCACAUGGUGGGGCUGAGGAUGCACUCUGACCUGCCAGCCCCACUCUGCCAUGUCAGUCUUAUCAAACCACACAGGACUGUUCUUUAAGAACUUGUUCCAGGAGUCACAGUUCUUUCCGGACAAUAAAAUACAUAGUAAUGUAGUUCACGAGACCAGCAAAUGAUAUACUUGUUCAGGAAAGUAAUUGUUCAUCUCAGGACAUGUUAAUUUUAUUUUUAGAAAGGUGUGUUCAUACAGUUUGUGUAAUUUUUUUUUUCAAAGCAAAGCUGGUUUUGUUUAAUUUUCUAGCAGACAGAAUUCGGAAUAACAGACAAUAGAUACACACCUGUCAUCUCCAGAAAAAAAGUGAGACUGAGGUUUCACAGCAUGUAGGGAUGGAGUUUGUUUACUCUUUUCAUCUGUUGUCACCUUCCCUUUUGCCAGUAAUUUUAGAUGAGGAGGAAGUGAACUGAUAAAUAUAUGCAGUCUCAUUACAGUCUUUCCUGAUAACAGCACUAGUAGGUUAUGGAUGAAGUCAGUAAAAGCUGGCUCAUUGAUUAGAAAGUCAGAAGACUUCUCACAUACACUUGCAGCAAACCUUGCACUGAGGACUAAAAAUGGAGUGGUUUACAUCGCUCUUUUCUCAGACAUCUCCUCAUGGUAAUAUCCAAAGAUAUCCCAGCAGUGAUAUAACUGACACAAUAGUUACUGCCUCCUCAUCUACAUUCAUCUUCCCAAAAGAGUUUUUAUUUUGGUAAGUAGGGGAUGUUUUUAAUAUUCUUACCAGAAGUAAGAAAACAGGUGGACUAUUUAAGAGGGGAGGACAGUCACGUAGGACAGGAAAAAGAACUUCAGUUUGAUAUGCAAUUAAUUGGGGGCACUGUCAGCUAUUUUAAAAUGUAUGGUGGGAGGGAGGAUUUCCUGCUCGUAUGGAGGAAGCAACACUUGACAACAGAAACAUAAACUUCAUCCUCUUAAAUCUAAUGGAAAAAAAACCCCCAAAAGAGUGGCACACUGUUUGGGAGAGUACAAGAUUGAACCAUGUAAUGACUGUACACAAAAUGAACACAAAUUGAUGGGCGAAUGCUUUAUACAGUAUUUUCACUACCACUGGUGAUACUAAUGCAGAACUAGAAAACUGGUGCCACAGCUCAAUAUAUGUAUAUUCUUAGUACAGUGCUACGCAAGACAACAGUCCUGUUUUGUCUGGAAGGGCAAAAUGUGAAAAAGCUAACAUAAAAUUUCUUCUGCCUCUUUAACAUUUCUCUACCCACAGUUUUAGUACUUGGAUUCCUAACCUUGUACAGCUCCAUACCUGCAUUUCAUAGAUUACUAGAGUAACAAUCUGCAUUGAUAAAAAAUGAUAAGAUAAAGAUAAAAAGGCAGCAGACCACAAAAUACGUGUCCAGCCCUGAGUUCCCCUUACUUCCAACUGUGAGGCACUUCUACCACAUUUCCUUUUUUUUUGCCUCCACACUUCCUUUUCAGCACUGUUCACAGUUGGAUGUAGACAAAAUCAGGUGUUAUCCCUAUGACGCAGAUAAACCAGAGCAGGAAAGACACUCUUCCCCACCUCAUCUUUUAGAGUGCAAAAAAUACUCACUGGUGAGCCAGCCCCGGGGUCAGGAGUUUCAGAUUGGUUUGGACAGAUGUCUGAAGCUGCAUAGCCCAGUGACCUUUCCUGCUAAUUCCAAGUAUUUCCUUCUUUUUAUGUCUUCCUACAGGCUACCUCUUCUCUCCUCUGGUUCUUCCAUUUCCUCCCCCUCUCUGAUGCACCCUCUAUCACCAGGCAUCAGCAGCUGGGUUGGAUUCCACUCCUGCAAUGAAGGGACACCUCUUCCCACUGCUGGCCCUUGGCCAUCUGGUGCUGCUGGCACUUUGAGGGUCAUC